rnacentral:lncRNA from 1 species
UCUAGAGUGGUUGUUGCACACGCCCUCGUGGACUUCUCUUAAUAUGUAGGUAGCAUCUUCUUCCCCGACGCACCGUAAGAGUGGAGAGAAGAACUCCUCUUGUAGAGAAUGUCAUCAAUGAAGAGGAAGUGGGCUGACCUCCUCCUUAGCUUGUAAGCCUCAUUCUUGUUAGUGGACAGUAUCUGGUCUUUGAGGUACGCUAUGAUUGGCUGCAUCUAAGUGGGAGUUCCAGCGACCCACAUUACAGUAGGGGCCGCUCAAUAGGUACUACUGUGAGUAGCUCUGAGUCCUUGCUACUAGCCAGCUUCGAGAGUACAUCCGCAUGUGCAUUUUCGAUGCGGGGGAUCUGGAUCAACUCAAACUUUUCGAAGGAUGGGAUAAGGUUCAUUACCAUUUUCAGAUAGGAGG